UACGGGGGGGGCAAGCGUUGUUCGGAAUUACUGGGCGUAAAGGGCUUGUAGGUGGCCCGCUAAGUCACACGUGAAAUCCCUCAGCUUAACUGGGGAACUGCGUGUGAGACUGGCAGGCUCGAGGGCAGGAGAGGAACGCGGAAUUCCAGGUGUAGCGGUGAAAUGCGUAGAUAUCUGGAGGAACACCGGUGGCGAAGGCGGCGUUCUGGACUGUCUCUGACGCUGAAGAACGAAAGCCAGGGGAGCAAACGGG
rnacentral:rRNA from 1 species